UUGUAAACAAACAAGUUAAGGGCAAGA
rnacentral:piRNA from 1 species